ACUGAUCAGAAAAUACAAGUAAAAUCCACAAUUUUAGCUUAGCUGUAAAAUGUCCUACCUCUCAGUGUCGCUGUUGGGUCGGGAAAAGAACUUUCUAGUUCUUUCUCCUAUUAGUAGCUAGGGGAAUUCCAUCUCGUCAUGGUUACAGCUUAUGGCCAAUCAGAGACUGUUUCUGUACACGUCAGUGUACAGUAAUAUUUAACUCAUCAGAGCUGCUUAUUUUGCUGCAGCAAAGAUUCUGGACCCACUGUAAACUGUUGCCUGAAUCUUUACUCAUGUUAAACGGGUUUAAUAAACAGGUAAACAAUUUUUUUCCAAAUGUUAAUCUUACGUUUUAUAUGAGGAGAGAAAAAUAUUUACAUCAUCAACUCACUAAUUAUUCAAAAUGAUGAGUGAUGCUUUAACAACCUAAAAAAAACAUUUUUGUCACUAUGUAGACUGUCUGACUUUGUCUGGACAUUUGAAUUCUGCCACAUACUGUAAACUGAGGCCGUGAUCAGUUCACCAGAGAAUGUGUCCCUGAGAAGGGAGGUCUGAGAGGUCUCCACCACCUGAUCAUGAUAAUGAUGAUGAUGAUGAUGAUGAUGAUGAAGAACCAUCAGGAGAUGCUCCUAAGGAUGUGUUGUUUGGUGAAGUCACCUCCAAUGACGUUGAAAAUGUGUGCUGGCAGCUCUCAAGCCCACUGUUGCACAAAUUUCCCAGAGUUUGACAACAAUUCACAUUUCUGCACUUCAUGUGAAAAAAAAUUCACCAUUUGAAACUCUGUUUUUGUGCAUGACCCCAGCACGUUCCCGAGGUCUGUGCUGCAAUUUGUGACAUUAGAUCUGCAGCGUGCAGCAAGAGUCCUGUUGGUGCCUACAUCACUUUCCAGGUUUUUAGCACCAGAACCUACAUUAGAUCUGUGGUCAUCACAGGGCAGAGAAAGUGAAGAUCCCUGCUAAUGGGCUGUCACAGGAACUGGAGAUUACCAGCAGCCAUCAGAAGAGAAAUACUAAGGGCUCAGAAGAACUGGAGAAGGCUUGGAAGGUGAAUGCCACAGUGGUGCCUGUGGUGAUCGGAGCACUGGGGGCAGUGACCCCCAAAUUGGAGGAGUGGCUACGACAGAUCCCUGGAAAAACAUCCGACAUCUCAGUCCAGAAAAGUGCAGUCCUAGGAACAGUAAGAUACUGCGCAGAACCCUCAAGCUCCUUGGCCUCUGGUAGAGGACCCGAGCUUGGAAAACGGAUGAGACCACCCGCGUGGGCUUUCUAGUAGAUACAGCUGAAGAGGAAUUGAACCUGCAGUAGCGUCUCACUGACACCAGGAGACUGUAGCUGGCUGGAGUUUAAAGAGCAGGAAGCAGAGGGAGGGUCCAAGCUUCACCUGGAGCUGAUCACCCUGAACAGUGGCUGUGAAGAUGCAGCUGCAAUUUGCUUUGCUUCUGAUCUUCACUGAUUUCUGCUUCUGUGUGAAAAUCGACCAGGCUCCAUUUGUAAUUAGCCGCGCUAAGGAGCCAUCAGUAACUCUGCAGUGCAAACAGGAUGACAGUACAUACUACUACAUGUACUGGUACAAACAGAGCAGCAGAGGGGAAAUGCAGCUGGUCACAUAUUCUAUCAAUAAAAACAUUGCAAGCACUGAAGCUCCCUUUAAGGAGUCCAAGCACAAAAUGUCUCGGCCUGAAGUGCUAACGUCCUCCCUGCAGAUAUUCACUGUUGAACCUGGAGACUCAGCUGUGU